GCAAGUCGAGCGGAAAGGCCCCUUCGGGGGUACUCGAGCGGCGAACGGGUGAGUAACACGUGAGCAACCUGCCCCUGACUCUGGGAUAAGCCCGGGAAACUGGGUCUAAUACCGGAUGUGACCAGCCUCCGCAUGGAGUGCUGGUGGAAAGUUUUUCGGUUGGGGAUGGGCUCGCGGCCUAUCAGCUUGUUGGUGGGGUGAUGGCCUACCAAGGCGACGACGGGUAACCGGCCUGAGAGGGCGACCGGUCACACUGGGACUGAGACACGGCCCAGACUCCUACGGGAGGCAGCAGUGGGGAAUAUUGCGCAAUGGGCGGAAGCCUGACGCAGCGACGCCGCGUGAGGGAUGACGGCCUUCGGGUUGUAAACCUCUUUCAGCAGGGACGAAGCUAACGUGACGGUACCUGCAGAAGAAGCGCCGGCUAACUACGUGCCAGCAGCCGCGGUAAUACGUAGGGCGCAAGCGUUGUCCGGAAUUAUUGGGCGUAAAGAGCUCGUAGGCGGUUUGUCGCGUCUGUCGUGAAAGCCCACGGCUUAACCGUGGGUCUGCGGUGGAUACGGGCAGACUAGAGGCAGGUAGGGGAGAAUGGAAUUCCCGGUGUAGCGGUGAAAUGCGCAGAUAUCGGGAGGAACACCGGUGGCGAAGGCGGUUCUCUGGGCCUGUACUGACGCUGAGGAGCGAAAGCGU
rnacentral:rRNA from 1 species